rnacentral:rRNA from 1 species
UACGGAGGGUGCAAGCGUUAUCCGGAUUCACUGGGUUUAAAGGGUGCGUAGGAGGGCAGGUAAGUCAGUGGUGAAAUCCCCAAGCUUAACUUGGGAACUGCCGUUGAUACUAUCUGUCUUGAAUACCGUGGAGGUGAGCGGAAUAUGUCAUGUAGCGGUGAAAUGCUUAGAUAUGACAUAGAACACCAAUUGCGAAGGCAGUUCGCUACACGAAUAUUGACUCUGAGGCACGAAAGCGUGGGGAUCAAAACAGG